UAUCCAGUCACUAGUGGACAAUAGACACAUGACAGAAGAGGGAAGGGUACCUAAGAACCUAAUGUCUGGAAGGGGAGGAGGAGGAGGGGGCCAGCAGUCCGGGGGUGAAGUACUAGCGACAUUCUUUAAUAACCUGUUAUCUGAGAAACCCAGUACUAAGACCUCUCGUAGUACCACUGGAGUCACUGGAGGUAGUGAUGGGAAGAAGAGCACACCAAAGACUGAGAAGUAACUGAUUGUUUGUGCUUGUGGUUGUAGAGGGAUAGAAAUGAUAAAGAGGUGUUGUUGUUGUUGUUGUUUUAAUUUAUUAAUUUAUUUUGUUCAAAUUUUUGUUUAUUAAAAAGCCAUAUCUCUGUGUUUUAGUAUA